GUAUAAUCUCGUUGGUCAUGUAAAAGUCAGUUUCCAUUAAAAUACAUGGGCACGAUAUGGUCGUAUAGUUGGCAUAAUUAUGCGUGUAAGAUGAGAAAACGGGCGAGACAACGAAAGAUUUCAAGGCAAAAGACGUGUAUUGGAAGACGUCCACAGUGUUUAAAGAUACGACGCAAAGUUAUGCAAUGUAGAUGCGAAAAUACCUGUGUGAAAGAGAGAAAAAUUGAACCCGAUACUGAUAUGACUAAGCGUGUUACAUUCAACGAUUUGCCACAGAAGUGUAUCUGUCUAGACACAAAUAUCAAUAGAUCCGUACAGUGUCCGGAAGUAUGUCUGACGAUGUCGGAUAUGGCGGACACUUUUCAUCCAGAAGGAUUUUGUUGUGCGGUAAAGAAUAAAAACGUUUGUCGAUUCACUAUUGAUGCAUACUUUUCUUAAUUAAAAUCGAUUAUUAAACUUC